rnacentral:rRNA from 1 species
GACAGAGGCCUCAAGCGUUAGGCGGAAUCACUGGGCUUAAAGCGUGUGUAGGCGGUUCGUUAAGUACCUUGUGAAAUCCCACGGCUCACCCGUGGAACUGCUGGGUAUACUGGCGAUCUUGGGCCAACUAGGGGCAACUGGAACAAACGGUGGAGCGGUGAAAUGCGCAGAUAUCAGGAGGAACACCAAUUGCGAAGGCAGCUCGCUGGGACGUUACUGACGCUGAGACGCGAAAGCGUGGGGAGCAAACAGG